UACGAAGGGGGCUAGCGUUGCUCGGAAUCACUGGGCGUAAAGGGUGCGUAGGCGGGUCUUUAAGUCAGGGGUGAAAUCCUGGAGCUCAACUCCAGAACUGCCUUUGAUACUGAGGAUCUUGAGUUCGGGAGAGGUGAGUGGAACUGCGAGUGUAGAGGUGAAAUUCGUAGAUAUUCGCAAGAACACCAGUGGCGAAGGCGGCUCACUGGCCCGAUACUGACGCUGAUGCGCGAAAGCCAGGGGAGCGAACGGG
rnacentral:rRNA from 1 species